UACGUAGGGUGCGAGCGUUGUCCGGAAUUAUUGGGCGUAAAGAGCUCGUAGGCGGUUUGUCGCGUCGACUGUGAAAACCUACAGCUUAACUGUGGGCUUGCAGUCGAUACGGGCAGACUUGAGUUCGGUAGGGGAGACUGGAAUUCCUGGUGUAGCGGUGAAAUGCGCAGAUAUCAGGAGGAACACCGGUGGCGAAGGCGGGUCUCUGGGCAUUACCUGACGCUGAGGAGCGAA
rnacentral:rRNA from 1 species